UACGUAGGUGGCAAGCGUUGUCCGGAUUUAUUGGGUUUAAAGGGUGCGUAGGCGGUCUAUUAAGUCAGUGGUGAAAUAUGGCAGCUCAACUGUCAAGGUGCCAUUGAUACUGAUGGACUUGAGUGAAGUCGAAGUAGGCGGAAUUGACGGUGUAGCGGUGAAAUGCUUAGAUAUCGUCAAGAACACCGAUAGUGAAGACAGCUUACUAGGCUUAUACUGACGCUGAGGCACGAAAGUGUGGGGAUCAAAC
rnacentral:rRNA from 1 species